rnacentral:rRNA from 1 species
GUUAAAAAGCUCGUAGUUGGAUUUCUGUUGAGGAUGGCCGGUCCGCUCUAUGAGCGUGUAUCUGGUUUAGCCUUGGCAUCCUCUCGGGGAACGUAGCUACGCUUGAUUGCGCGGUGCGGUAUUCAAGACUUUUACUUUGAGGAAAUUAGAGUGUUCACGGCAGGCUU